rnacentral:rRNA from 1 species
CCUACGGGGGGCAGCAGUGGGGAAUAUUGGACAAUGGGCGAAAGCCUGAUCCAGCCAUGCCGCGUGUGUGAAGAAGGCCUUCGGGUUGUAAAGCACUUUCAGUGGGGAAGAAAGCCUUGGGGCUAAUACCCUCGAGGAAGGACAUCACCCACAGAAGAAGCACCGGCUAACUCCGUGCCAGCAGCCGCGGUAAUACGGAGGGUGCGAGCGUUAAUCGGAAUUACUGGGCGUAAAGCGCGCGUAGGCGGUCUGAUAAGCCGGUUGUGAAAGCCCCGGGCUCAACCUGGGAACGGCAUCCGGAACUGUCAGGCUAGAGUGCAGGAGAGGAAGGUAGAAGUCCCGGUGUAGCGGUGAAAUGCGUAGAGAUCGGGAGGAAUACCAGUGGCGAAGGCGGCCUUCUGGACUGACACUGACGCUGAGGUGCGAAAGCGUGGGUAGCAAACAGGAUUAGAUACCCCGGUAGUC